AAAUUAUUGGCACAGGCACAUCGUUAUGUCUUACUUCACAGUGACUUAAUAUCCGAGUAUCGCAGAGAUUUUUUAGUGGCUCAACGAAGCGCCAACAAUAACAUUCAUCCUACCCCAAGGAUUGAGCAAAGAUGGUUGGUUGAGUUAUUUCCUGAAUGGUUAUUAAAACAGGUACCGACCAUGAUGGAGAGACAUUGUUCCAAUGAAUUAAUAGUCCUUGCUCGAGGUCCGAACAAUAUUGUCAACAGAUAUGAUGGGUUCAUUAUAAAUGGUUUUAAAUUUCAUACAAAAAAACGUGAAAAAUUUAGAAAAACACAAAAUAGUGGAGUUAUGGUUGAGGCGGACGGAAAAAUUUAUUAUGGUGCCCUAACAGAUGUUUAUGAGUUGGAUUAUUACGGGAACUUUAAGGUAGUAUUAUUUCGAUGUGAUUGGGUGGAUAUAAACUCAUCUAGAGGUUUGAGGCAAGAUAUAAAUGGCUUCACACUAGUAAAUUUUUCAAG